GUCUGGUUUAGUCUCUACUUGCU
rnacentral:siRNA from 1 species